GGGUUAUUAGCUCAGUUGGUUAGAGCACACCCCUGAUAAGGGUGAGGUCUCAGGUUCAAGUCCUGGAUAACCCAC
rnacentral:tRNA from 1 species